AGGACGAACGCUGGCGGCGUGCUUAACACAUGCAAGUCGAGCGGAAAGGCCCUUCGGGGUACUCGAGCGGCGAACGGGUGAGUAACACGUGAGCAACCUGCCCCUGGCUCUGGGAUAGCCUCCGGAAACGGGGAUUAAUACCGGACAUGACCUGCUGCCGCAUGGUGGCGGGUGGGAAGUUUUUCGGCCAGGGUGGGGCUCGCGGCCUAUCAGCUUGUUGGGGGGGUGACGGCCCACCAAGGCGACGACGGGUA
rnacentral:rRNA from 1 species